rnacentral:rRNA from 1 species
AACUAACGCUGGCGGCGUGCCUAACACAUGCAAGUCGUACGAGAAAGCCGGCUUCGGCUGGUGAGUAAAGUGGCGCACGGGUGAGUAACGCGUGGAUAAUCUGCCCUUAAGUGUGGAAUAACGUACCGAAAGGUGCGCUAAUACCGCAUAAUGCCUGGCAACACAAGUUGUCCGGCCAAAGAAGGCCUCUGUUUACAAGCUUUCGCUUCAGGAUGAGUCCGCGUACCAUUAGCUUGUUGGUGGGGUAAUGGCCUACCAAGGCUGCGAUGGUUAGCUGGUCUGAGAGGAUGAUCAGCCACACUGGAACUGAGACACGGUCCAGACUCCUACGGGAGGCAGCAGUGAGGAAUAUUGCGCAAUGGGGGCAACCCUGACGCAGCAACGCCGCGUGAGUGAGGAAGGUUUUCGGAUUGUAAAGCUCUGUCGAGCGGAAAGAAAUGCACGAUGGCUAAUAUCCAUCAUGCUUGACGGUACCG